GUUAAAAUGUCAUAGGUGUAGUACUGCCCCCACCACACAGCUUGGGAUGGGGGUGGAGGGGCAAGUCAUAGGCAGAGAGCCAAAUAAGCUUCCACAGCCAUGUGAUGGCAGAGAAAGCUGGGACAUGUAAUUCAACAGGAUUGAGAUGAACGUGUGAGAAGAGAGUCAUAAGAAACAGUGUUUGGCUAGUAAAGCCUAACAUCCUCCCAUCACCUGUGCUGGACUAGGAAACUCAGGCCACUUAUGCCCUGCGAAGGAAAACCUCUUCACUCGCUCUGUGCACAAAUUAAAUGAGUACUCCUAAGAUACCUGUGAGAAGCAGAGAUUCCGGAGCAGCAUGAGUCACAAUCGGCUUGAGUACUCCAAGGACCCAAGUGAAUGUAAUAGACUAGAUGCCAAGCUACCAUGGAUAUUUUGCCAUGAAUGGAAAUGUCCUUGCUAUUUUCUUGCUUGGGGAGCCAACAAGGGGACAGGAAGAGUGAGGAUUAAGGGAGCCCCACUGUGACCUCAUACCUUCCAGGGAACUUGAAGGAUCUUCACAAUGACAUGAUGAGAGCAGGAAUCUGAAAAUUAA
rnacentral:lncRNA from 1 species